UGGGGAAUAUUGGGCAAUGGGCGAAAGCCUUACCCAGCAACGCCGCGUGAGGGAAGAAGGUUUUCGGAUUGUAAACCUCUGUCCUGGGGGACGAAGGAAGUGACGAUACCCCGGGAGGAAGCCCCGGCUAACUACGUGCCAGCAGCCGCGGUAAUACGUAGGGGGCGAGCGUUGUCCGGAAUUAUUGGGCGUAAAGGGCGCGUAGACGGCCGAGUAAGUUAUAGGUGAAAGCCCAUCUUUCAAGGAUGGAAUUGCCUGUAAUACUGCCUGGCUUGAGUGCAGGAGAGGGAAGCGGAAUUCCUAGUGUAGCGGUGAAAUGCGUAGAUAUUAGGAGGAACACCAGUGGCGAAGGCGGCUUUCUGGACUGCAACUGACGUUGAGGCGCGAAAGCGUGGGGAGCAAACAGGAUUAGAUACC
rnacentral:rRNA from 1 species